rnacentral:pre_miRNA from 10 species
CCGGCCGGCGUCCCGGGCGUGGGCGCGGGACCGCCCUGGUCUGUGGGCGGUGGGAUUCCCGUGCGUUGUUUUCCCGGCGGCCCGGUCGCC